rnacentral:rRNA from 1 species
GAGUUUGAUCCUGGCUCAGAACGAACGCUGGCGGCAUGCCUCAUACAUGCAAGUCGAACGAGGUCUUCGGACCUAGUGGCGCACGGGUGAGUAACAUGUGGGAAUCUACCUGAAGGUUCGGAAUAACUAUGGGAAACUGUAGCUAAUACCGGAUGUGUCUGAAAAGAGAAAGAUUUAUCGCCUUCAGAUGAGCCCGCACUAGAUUAGCUAGUUGGUGAGGUAAUUGCUCCACCAAGGCUACGAUCUAUAGCUGAUUUGAGAGGAUGAUCAGCCACACUGGGACUGAGACACGGCCCAGACUCCUACGGGAGGCAGCAGUAGGGAAUAUUGGACAAUGGGGGAAACCCUGAUCCAGCAAUGCCGCGUGAGUGAAGAAGGCCUUCGGGUUGUAAAACUCUUUCAUCAAUGAUGAUAAUGACAUUAGUUGAAGAAGAAGCUCCGGCUAACUUCGUGCCAGCAGCCGCGGUAAUACGAAGGGGGCUAGCGUUGUUCGGAAUCACUGGGCGUAAAGCGUAUGUAGGCGGAUCAAAAAGUUAGAUGUGAAAUCCCUGGGCUCAACCCAGGAACUGCAUUUAAAACUAGUGAUCUAGAAUUUGGUAGGGGUUAGUAGAAUUUCCAGUGUAGAGGUGAAACUCGUAGAUAUUGGAAAGAAUACCAGUGGCGAAGGCGACUAACUGGGCCAUUUUUUGACGCUGAGAUACGAAAGCGUGGGUAGCAAACAGGAUUAGAUACCCUGGUAGUCCACGCAGUAAACGAUGAGUGCUAGUCGCUGGGACAUUAGUUUCAGUGUCGACGCUAACGCAUUAAGCACUCCGCCUGGGAAGUACGGUCGCAAGAUUAAAACUCAAAUAAAUUGACGGGGGCCCGCACAAGCGGUGGAGCAUGUGGUUUAAUUCGAAGCAACGCGAAGAACCUUACCAGACCUUGACAUGGUGUGUAUGAAUUACAGAAUCGUAAUUCUUCAGUUCGGCUGGCACACACACAGGUGCUGCAUGGCUGUCGUCAGCUCGUGUCGUGAGAUGUUGGGUUAAGUCCCGCAACGAGCGCAACCCUCAUUUUUAGUUGCCAUCAGGUUAUGCUGGGCACUCUAAAAAAACUGCCGGUGAUAAGCUGGAGGAAGGCGGGGAUGACGUCAAGUCCUCAUGGCCCUUACGGUCUGGGCUACACACGUGCUACAAUGGUGGUGACAGUGGGCAGCAAUACUGCAAAGUAAAGCUAAUCCCAAAAAACCAUCUCAGUUCGGAUUGGACUCUGCAACUCGAGUCCAUGAAGUUGGAAUCGCUAGUAAUCGUAGAUCAGCGUGCUACGGUGAAUACGUUCUCGGGCCUUGUACACACCGCCCGUCACGCCAUGGGAGUUGGUUUUACCUUAAGCCGGUGCGCUAACCGCAAGGAAGCAGCCGUCCACGGUAGGGUCAGCGACUGGGGCGAAGUCGUAACAAGGUAACC